ACUGCUCAGUAACACGUGGAUAACCUGCCCUUGGGUCCGGCAUAACCCCGGGAAACUGGGGAUAAUUCCGGAUAACGCACAUAUGCUGGAAUGCUUUAUGCGUAAAAUGGAUUCGUCUGCCCAAGGAUGGGUCUGCGGCCUAUCAGGUAGUAGUGGGUGUAAUGUACCUCCUAGCCAACAACGGGUACGGGUUGUGAGAGCAAGAGCCCGGAGAUGGAUUCUGAGACAUGAAUCCAGGCCCUACGGGGCGCAGCAGGCGCGAAAACUUUACAAUGCGGGAAACCGUGAUAAGGGGACACCGAGUGCCAGCAUCAUAUGCUGGCUGUCCAGGUGUGUAAACUACACCUGUUAGCAAGGGCCGGGCAAGACCGGUGCCAGCCGCCGCGGUAACACCGGCGGCCCGAGUGGUGAUCGUGAUUAUUGGGUCUAAAGGGUCCGUAGCCGGUUUGGUCAGUCCUCCGGGAAAUCUGAUAGCUCAACUAUUAGGCUUUCGGGGGAUACUGCCAGGCUUGGAACCGGGAGAGGUAAGAGGUACUACAGGGGUAGGAGUGAAAUCUUGUAAUCCCUGUGGGACCACCUGUGGCGAAGGCGUCUUACCAGAACGGGUUCGACGGUGAGGGACGAAAGCUGGGGGCACGAACCGGAUUAGAUACCCGGGUAGUCCCAGCCGUAAACGAUGCUCGCUAGGUGUCAGGCAUGGCGCGACCGUGUCUGGUGCCGCAGGGAAGCCGUGAAGCGAGCCACCUGGGAAGUACGGCCGCAAGGCUGAAACUUAAAGGAUUGGCGGGGGAGCACA
rnacentral:rRNA from 1 species